rnacentral:rRNA from 1 species
ACCGGUCAUGACGCCAGUCGUAUCGCCGGGUAGCUAAGCACGGAAGAGAUAAACGCUGAAAGCAUCUAAGCGUGAAACUUGCCUGAAGAUAAGUCUUCCCUUGCACCUUGAGUGCACUAAAGGGUCGUUGAAGACCACAACGUUGAUAGGCUGGGUGUGGAAGCGCAGUAAUGCGUUAAGCUAACCAGUACUAAUUGCCCGUGAGGCUUGACCCU